GUGUGUGUAAUUUAAUUAAAAUAUCAAGCUGUGACCAUGACAAUAGGAGCCAAUCCUCGCACACCA
rnacentral:tRNA from 1 species